rnacentral:rRNA from 1 species
GACGUAGGGCGCGAGCGUUGUCCGGAUUUACUGGGCGUAAAGCGCACGUAGGCGGGUUGUUAAGUCAGGGGUGAAAUCCUGGAGCUCAACUCCAGAACUGCCUUUGAUACUGGCAACCUAGAGACUGGAAGAGGUUAGUGGAAUUCCCAGUGUAGAGGUGAAAUUCGUAGAUAUUGGGAAGAACACCAGUGGCGAAGGCGGCUAACUGGUCCAGCACUGACGCUGAGGUGCGAAAGCGUGGGGAGCAAACAGG